rnacentral:rRNA from 1 species
GAUGAACGCUGGCGGCGUGCCUAAUACAUGCAAGUCGAGCGAACGGACGAGAAGCUUGCUUUUCUGAUGUUAGCGGCGGACGGGUGAGUAACACGUGGAUAACCUACCUAUAAGACUGGGAUAACUUCGGGAAACCGGAGCUAAUACCGGAUAAUAUUUUGAACCGCAUGGUUCAAAAGUGAAAGACGGUCUUGCUGUCACUUAUAGAUGGAUCCGCGCUGCAUUAGCUAGUUGGUAAGGUAACGGCUUACCAAGGCAACGAUGCAUAGCCGACGGGAGAGGGUGAUCGGCCACACUGGAACGGAGACACGGUCCAGACGCCUGCGGGAGGGCGCAGUAGGGAAUGGGCCGCAGCGGGCGGAAGCAUGACGGAGUAGCGCGGCGUGAGAGAUGAAGGUGUCGGGAUCGUAAAACUCGGUUACUAGUGAAGAACAGAUGUGUAAGUAACUGUGCAGAUCGUGACGGUAAUUAAUCAGAAAGCAACGGCUAACUACGUG